GGUGAAAGGAAACAAAAUCUGGUUGAACAUUAACCCCAAUUUUCUUUUCCAAAAGUCUUAGUUGGGAAGAUCUGUUUGUAACACUGUACUUAGAGAUACUGCUGAAGGUCUCCAUACCAGAUGGGCACAUAACAGCCGCGGGCACAGCCUGCCAUGCUUCUCACUCCCAUGGCAGUCUCCAUCCUGCACUGCAGCAGCUAUGGAGUAAUGCAAGCAGAACACACCAAGAGGACCGUCAAACCCUCGACCCUGGUCAGUCAGUGCAGAGCUUUCAGUAACAGCAACACGCCAAGAGUUCAUUCUGCUAUUUAUGAGAGGUAUCCUGUACUUCGUAUCAAUCCACUCACUCUACAAACUGACUUCUAGCUACACGAGAGGCUGCAGUAAGAUGGUGCUGUGCUGUACAGUGCUCCUCCAUCCACUCUGCAAAGCCCCCCGGCAGCUGCCAGGAGAGGCCGCAGCUGUACAGAAGCUGAUGUAUAACCACACAAAGGCUGCACUGAAGCCAAGAUAUUUCAUAAUCUCCAUUUUAUUUCUUCGAAGCAAAACACAAGCUGAUUUCUCCAACACUGAAAGGUGAGGCAAGGGGAAAAUGUGACUCUGUGUGUUAGAAUUAUAGAAUCCUUAGAGUUAGAAGGGAUCUUUAAAGGUCAUCUAGUCCAACCCUCCUGCAAUGCACAGGGACACCACAGCUAGAUCAGGUUGCCCAGAGCCUGAUCCAGCCUAGCCUUUAAAGUCUUCAGGGACAGGUCAUCAACCACAACACUGUGCAACCUGUUCCAGUGCCUCACCACCCUCACUGUAAAAUAUUUUUUCCUUAUAUCUAACCAAAAUCUAUCCUCUUUAAGCUUGAAACCAUUUCCCGUCAUUCUAUCACAACAGACCCUGCUAAAGAGUCUGUCUCCUUUCCUGUAGCUCCCCUUCAGAUACUGAAGGGCUGCCAUUAGUUUUUCCUGGAGCCUUCUCUUCUGCAGAUUCAACAGCCCCAGCUCUCUCAGCCUGUUCUCAUAGGAGAGGUGUUCCAACCUCUUGAAUCAUUUUUGUGGCCCUCCUCUGCACACUCUCCAACAGCUCCAUGUCUCUCCUGCACUGAGCACACCCCAUCUGGAUGCCGUGCUCCAGAUGAGGUCUCACAGCACAGAGCAGAGGGGCAGAUCCCCUCCCUCGCCCUGCUGGCCACACUGCUUUUGAUGCAGCCCAGGAUAUGGUUGGCUUUCUGGGCUGCAAGGGCACAUUGCUGGCUCAUUUCAAACUUCCCUUCUAUCAGUACCCCCAGGUCUUUUUCUGCAAGGCUGCUCUCAAUCCUAUUCUCAUCUCUAAUCCUAAUCUCAUCUCCUAUUGGUAGUGGAUGUGGUCUCCAUCCAGGUGCAAGGCCUUGCACUUGGAUUUGUUGAACCUCAUGAGGGUCUCUUGGGCCCACUGCUCAGCCUGUCAAGGUCCCUCUGGAUGGCAUCCCAUCCCUCUGAUGUGUCAACUGUACUCCACAACUUGGUGUCAUCAGCAAACUCGCUGAGGGUGCGCUCAACCCCGCUGUCAAUGUCACUGAUGAAGACGAUACUCUUUAAUGAGUAUCAGUUCCAGCACCGACCCCUGGGGAACACCACUCAUCACUUAUCUCCAUCCAGAUACAGAGCCACUGAUCACCAUUCUCUGGACUCAAUCCUGCAGCCAGUUCUUUGUCCAUUAAACAGUCCACCCAUCAAAUCCAUAUCUUUUCAAUUUGGAGAGGAUGUUUGGUACUGUGUCAAAGGCCUUACUGAAGUCCAGAUAGAUCACAUCCGUGACACUUCUCUGGUCCACUGAUGCAGUUACACCAUCAUAAAAGGCCACCAGGUUGGUCAAGCAGGAUUUGCCCUUGGUGAAGCCAUGCUGGUUCUCCUGUAUCACCUCCCUGCCUUCCAUGUGCCUUAACAUAGCUUCAAGGAGGACCGGUUUUGAGGCAAAAAAAGUUAAGUUCUUCAGCCUUCUUCUUGUCUUUUGUUACCAGCCUGCCUGUGUCACUCACUGGGGAGGUACACCCUCCUGGACUUUCCUUUUCUGACUGAGGUACCCGUAGAAGCUUUUCUUGUUUUUCUUGGCAUCUCUUGCCAAAUUUAGAUCAAGCUGGGCCUUGGCUUUCCUGAUCCCAUCCCUUCACAGCCUAGCAGCUUUGUUAUGCUCUUCCCACAGUACCUGUCCCUGUUUCCACUGCCUGUGCAUUUUCUUCUUGCUCACCAGUUUGACCAACAAAUCCCAGUUCAGCCACACUGGUCUCUUGCCUUCCUUUCCUGACUCGCCAUAUCUGGGAGCUCUUUUUUGUUCCUUUGCUCAUGAGGACGGUUCCCUAAGGUGUUGUGUUGACUAACUCCCUGAAGAGCUGGAAGUUAGCUUUCCUAAAAUUUAGUGGUGAUGUCAGUUAUGAAAAAAUAUGUAGUGUUCAUCUCCACUUUGAUAGGGCCUGCUAGUAUUACAACAAAGUACAAGAGUGAGUUGUUCUCUAGAAAGGACCUCUGCAACCUCUCCUGAUAAUCUGCUUAGCAAGAACACAAGCUGUUCCUUAUUUGUCUACACUGUAAAAGCUGUGAAUCACACCUUAUGGAGACUUUUUUGCAUGGAUUUUUCAAGAAUCUGGGACAAACCAAACUUUCACUUCCAAAAGACAAAAGGAAAUAAAUAGCAGUCUUUGGUCUCCCUGUAAAGUGUAUUAAAGAUUUUUCACUGCAGAAGAGAUUGAAGAUCUGCAUCUCAUCCUUUAAAUUCUUUGGAUCUCUCAGCACUGGCAAAAACAACUCUUGUAAAAUGAAAGCUCUUCACCAGAACUGAGGAAAUCAUUCAACAUACAGUAAUAUGAGGUUUUCAUUGCCUCCUCUGCUGCUCAUGAAAAGAGUCUUUAGGUAGCUUACAUUUUUUCAUUCUUCUAAUUUUUCAGCCUACCUUUUCUCCUUACAGUUUUCAAGUUAGUCUGUUUUAAAGCAUCUCACUGUAUAAAUCUAAGGAUUUUAAUUAUUCUUUGUGCUUAGUGCUUGGAAUUAGCAGGAAUGUUAUAAACUAGAAAGUCCACAAUUAAUUUCCUCUCAUUUGCUUGCAUCUUAGAAUUUUUUUAAACAGCCAUACAGUACAAGUCUAUUCAUAAUCUGUGCCUCAGAGAACACACAGUUUAAAUUCAAAAAUGCACAAGACAUAACAAGUGGUAGAGCCAUAAAACAGGUAAGAAUUACAUUGACUGAAGGAGAAGGAAGGUCAGAACCAAACAACCUCCAGGUGACUGCAGCAGUCAGGGGGGGAUGAUGGCUGGAGACUACAACAUUUUCUCUCCUUCCUUUCACAACACCAACAACUGGACAAAAAAAAAAAAAAGAGAGAGAGAAAAGUUGACAGAGAAAUAACCACAACCAUCUCAUUAUAACCAAAAUGUACAUUGGCAAGGAAAGCAGAAACUUAAAUUUGCUCUAGAAGAGACCAAAAGGAGUAGCAGAGUGAGGGGCAAGGAGAAGUAUUUGUUCACAGACAUGUAGAGGAAAGGUGGUAUUCUCAGCUUCAGCCAGAUUACUUCCAAGGAGCUUGUGAGACAGCCACAGUGUAGCCUUUGGAAGAUAGAAACUGGGGAUGCAAAGUAUGUUGGAACCAAAUAAUACUUUAGUUAUUAUCAACGUAGUCAUCUAGUCCUCUUGAAAACUUCUAAGGAGUUCCAUCAGGUCUUUCAACAACAGAAUAUUCUUCAACAACUUAUUCAAAAUUCAGCUUAAACUCUGACAAGGACUAGUAAAAAGAAAAUAUUUCUUUCUCUUCUUCCUGGAUGUGAGUCACAGACUGGGAAAUCUCUGCAGGCAAAUGUGAUGUCUUUAUAGCAAUCUCACAAUUACCUGUAGAGAUUCUACAAUCUGGCAUCUGCAUACACAGUAAUUAUAAAGUAUACCGUUCUUCAUCUUCCACACCUCUGCUGAGUUGAGCUGAAUUGGAUCCAAAUCACCUAAAUAGCAUGUAGCUCACUGUACGUUUUUCUCUUAAUAAUUUUCAUGAGUCAAAAGUUGAAAACAAAAGCAUAGAAACUAUAUAUAUGAACCUGCUGGACAUUGCAAAGUACUGUUAACAACUGUGUACUAAUGGAAAAAAAAGUGAUUACAAGCCACGUUUGAACUAUGAGGACUUACUGCCCUGUUAAGAAGCUGCACCUACUGUUCAGUGAAGCUGAAUCACAAGUGGGAUUCCACUGGUUCACACCACGUUGGAUGAGUUCAGCUUUUCGAAAACAAUGAUGUUUUGAAGAGCAGUUUGCUUGAUGAGUGGUCUAAAAAUCAAACUUUGUUACAGUUGCAGCAAGAAGUCCCUUUGAGAGAAACAUUUCUUUUUCAGAGGAGAAUAUCUACCAAUUCAGGCUUUCAUGAAAGGCAAAAGGAACUAAUUUUUUUUCCUCUCUUGAAAUGCUCCUCAAAUCUUAUGCCAUAUCUACACAAGGUCUAAGUUUCACCACCACUGGCAGAAAGGUGCUGGUGCUGUGAACUCCAUGUGCAACAACAGCAAAGGUGUGUAAUUUUAGCAAUAUGGCACAAGUCAUGCAAACACAGCCUGUGAGAAGCUGACUGCGUAGAUACCCUGUCUGUGCUUCAGAGUUAAUACAUACCUGAACAAAACGUGCCCAGUUCACCUCCCAGGGACUGUAACCAGAAUUUGUGCCCACAUUUGUGAAGUAUGUCACAACACAACCCUCUGGGGAAUUCAUUCCACCAGAACAAAACUUACCGGAUAGGAGGACAGCUUGGCAUAAAUUGACAACACUGGAGAUAGAGCUGUGCACACAAAAAGCCAGAGGCUCAAAACAGAUAAAUACUGACUCUGCACAACAGCCUUGAUACAUAGGUUGCUCCAAAAGUAAUGCCUCCUAUCUAUUUCCAUAGAAACUACAAUACAGCACAAAAGAGCACAAUAGCACUAUUUGACGGAGCAAAUGCUCAGCUACAAAACGCUGUUUUUUAACAUAGUCACGACCACUAGCUGUGUGUUCUCACCAGCAAUGAACAAGAGCCCAAGUGCUGUGCUCAUAAAAAUCUACACCAGCAGAGGUUACCUACUGUUGCUGUUACCACUGCUGAAAUGCACUACCUGUCCCUCACUGUGGUCAUAUCCACUUUUUGGUCUCCAUAAAUGCUCAGCAAACACUGAUGAAUGUCAAUGGUGCAAUUUUUUCUGCAUGAAGGAAUUCAGUCACACACCUUUGUGCUCCAUAUCCACUUCCAUGUCAGACGUCAAUCUAUCAGACUGCCCCUCUGCUGCCAUCUGUCGCAUGGCAACAAAAUGGAAUGGGAUGUUGGUGGGCAGGUUCAACAUCUACUGCCAUCCCACCAACUUCUGUCUCUGAUGUCAUGGGCCAACAUCAUAAAAUGGAAGGCAUUACUUUCGGAGCAGCCCUCAUAUAAGACUUUCCGGUUCUCCACACUUCCCAGAAAACCACUAUUUCUCCAGUAGUUACCACCUUUAUUCCAGAUCUGAAUCAGAGGUGUGAAUUUUAUCUAUUCUUUUCAAUCAAGUGCUAAUUGACAAAUGGUGAGGGCAUGCAUGUGCACCUACCAUAUGAUUACAGCUGAUAACUGUGCAUGCAGCCACAACAGGCAUGUCAGCAUUUGCAAAACAAAAACAAAACAAAACAAAAAAAAAAACCCCAAAAAACAAAAAAACAACGCGGUGAUAUCCUACCAUAAUUCAAGAAAUGGCAAAGCUCCAUUCAUUUCAAUAUCAUGACUGUUUCAACACAAGCCUGAAAUAUUAGUUCUGGGACUGCAGGCAGAAUUGAAGUUGGAACCAACACAUUUUCCCUCAUCAUACCUUUAUAAAUUGUCCUUACUUUCAUUAAAGCCAACUUGUUCUUUUCUACUAUGUCCUGACAGACUGUUUUAAUAAGCAAUAAAAUGUGCUGUGCAAUAAAAACAUCAGUUACCUUGUACAGUUCUUAAAAAAAAAUUUCUGACUAUUCCACGCUAAUAUUUUACAUCCAUCUUCAAUUAUUCAGUCACCACAAGCCCUGCAGAGAUAUCAGUAUGGUGCCGUACAUUUCUCAAAAUGCUGUUGAUGAAUAAUAUGCAGCCUGCCUAUCCAUUUAGAUUUAUAAAGAAAUGCAUCAAAGAGAAGUUAUGCUGAUAAAUCCAACCCUGAGAAAGAAAUCAGAUUUUAAUUCCAAGAACUGAUACAAACCAAUGCUAAAAUCACUUUAGGCUCACCUAAAAUUUUACUCCCUUGAUUAUUUGUGGAUGAAUUUUGGCUGCUGUUCUGAUGAAGAGGAUCUUUUGGUUCAUCUUUUACAUUUUGAGAUGCUGACAUCAUUUUAAAUAUUUUUUGACAUACUGACAGAAUUAACUGUGCUUUCACACCUCUGUUUUUACAAUGAUACCACUGUUUUAACUAGAAUAUCACACAUGAAAGAGAAAAGUAAAUUCUUCUGCGAGUUUCAAGUUUUCACAAGGCUGUAGUAGUUAUGUCAAUGCCAAAAAUGUACAGAUUUUCUGGAUAAAAUCUGUGCCCAGCGAUGUCAACACAAGUUCUUGCAUUGUACUCUGUAGGACCAGGAUUCCUCCAGAAGCUUUUCAUCCUUAUUCUAAUCAUCUAUUUACAUCUACCUGUUUAUUAGCAAAUCUUUUUAAACAUGACAUAAAUAUUUGCCACUCAUCAGAGCUAGUUUGAACCCAUCACGCUGCAAUAGUGGAAUAUUAAAUACCACAUACUUCAAUUUUUUUUUUUUAAUCCAAAUCUAAAUAAAAGAUCUUGAACACAUGCUAACACAACUCCCUCCUGCAGCUGCACCAAGUCAGCACAAUGAUGACUGCCACCCACUACUACAGAUCAUUUUUCCUGCAGGGCUGCCCAGGUUGCAGUAACCAAAUGCUAUCUAUUAUUUCCUGAUUCCUUUUCGAAGUGUCUGAUUCCUUACUUAUAGUAUCAUGUAGAACUGGAGCAUCAUCUAUCAGUUAUCCAGGCCUAAACAUAGCAAAACCUUUUUUAUGUCAGAACUUUCCAUUAGACAUUUUCACUGCAAGUUACAGUAAGAAAAAUAUUGAGGCUUGAUUGUUUGAUCUUUCAUCUGGAAGUUCUAAGCUCUUUUAAUCAGUCUUGCACUCAUUUCAUAAUCUUAUUAUAUCCACGUUAACAACAACAACAAAAAAAAAACCACCUUAUAUCAAAAGAACAUGAAAUUCGAAGAGUUGAGCAAAGAAAAAAUAGCAAGUGCCAGAAACAAGUUUGUCUGUGUGUGAAUAUUCUCUCUACUUCUUGCAUUUGCAUUCGCAGUGCAAAUGGAUUACAUGCUCUAGAGCAAGAUUAACAUUCUUUUACCAUAAGGUUUUUAUGCACCAUUAUAAAGUCAAAGGUAUUCCAAAUCUCUCAGAAGCUUGGAACACCUUUCCACUCAUACAGCAGUUGGAAGGCAAAAAAGAGAUCAUGUAUGUUUACCCCUGGAAAGACAUUCAACCCAUUCAGGUACCUCCUGGUAUGGAAUGUCAGGUAUGGAAUGUCCAUCUGUAUCUACUUACACCAUAUGGUAAUGCUCGCCUAAAUUCCUACCUAGAAAUGGUCUCCUGUUCCUUUCAAGCCUUUCUUUCCAUUGAAGUUCUACAAGCAUAUGCUCGGAUGCCUGGACAGCUCAUAUCCAAAUGACUUUUACUGAGCAGCCCUCUUCUGUCCACCACCACCAGACCAUGACCUCAGUGCCUUCUCCAGGUGGCAUUUGCAUGUAUGCUGAAUGGCAGAAAGAAGAAAGUACGUGCUUGACCAAGCAAGAAAAGGGGGAACAAGACUUCACUCCACCUGGUUUUAACUUCAUCACCACCAAUGGAGAACAGUUUAAGUAAUGUAGAAGAAACACACAGAAACCAAAUUCACAGUAGUUUUGUGUUUGGUAGCCACCUAUAAAAAAAAUCAACAGAGGUGAUACGCCUCGUGGCUCCCAAGCCUACUCCCUCAGCCGCAAGUUUUCCUCCACUUUCACAGAGACACAAACAGAUGAGAAAGCCUGGUCAUGUCUGUGUUUGUCUGGAGCUUUGUUCGGGACUUUAUGUAUCACCUGAUGCCUUCUUUUGUCCAGCAAAUACUGUUGAACUGGCUGAGCAAAUAUAAUCAGACCUCCUGCCAAGCCUGCUUCUGGUUUGUUCCAGUAGAAGGCUGUUCUUUCUGAGGAGUUUGUGAGUUGCUCCCCUGCCAUUAUGCUCCAAGGCUGCACCGUGCACGGGUCUUCUCCCAGAGAAAAAGCAGCCGCUUUGCAUCAGUGGUGGUACAGACUGUAUUCCAGGGGCCUCCUGGUUUUAGUACACAAGCUAAGGAAAGCAGCUCGGCCCUGCAAGAGCAUCUGAUCCAAACACAAGCCCUACUGCUACAGCAUUUUGCUGCUGCAGCAAAUGAUGAUGAAACGUGGUGAAUUACCUUGCUUAUCAUCUUCUGUAGGUGAUCAGCUCCAGGAAACAAGCUUAUAUUUUACUUCAUCCUUCAGAAAACUUUCUUACAGCUUUUCUCUCAAACUACUUCUUCUCUUACAAUGGCAUCUAUCCAACUUGUUCUAUUCUCAUCUGUUCUGUGCAGCUCCUGUGUUUUAUUUCUAAACAUUUGUGAUUCCAGUUACUAACGGUGCUCUUCAGACUUGCUGGCAAACCUCCAUAAUGACCAAACACAAAAGCUGGAUUUGGUUAUAGUUCUCUGCACAGCAAUUACAGCAGUUGGUGCUACCCUGGCUUGGAAGCACCAAUUGCUACAGGAUGCUACAGGAGCAUAGACAGAGGUAAGUGCAAGGAGCUGAAGAAACAUGCCCACCAUUGUUAGAGGUUUGACAGAAACGGGUUUUUGCUCAGCAGUUAGACAGUUCCCUUGAAUGUAUAUUUUACUGUACUCCCUAUUAUAAAAGAGAAGCCAACAAGCACUGGCUGAACCAGAAGGAACAAGUUUGAGUUAUGCUUUAUCAGUUUACACGCAGAUUGGGGCAUGCCAAAUAUCACCAAAUAAAGUAGAUCUCACUUCAACAAGCGGAGUUGCUUAACAGCAUCUCUCAGAAAAGAUGCACAGAGACCCUAAGUGCUUUAACGACAGAUUUUCACAGUACCAGGUGCUGUCUGUGGAAUUUUGCCAUUUUUUUCCUGUGAAAGGCACUCAGAGAAGAAACUCAGCUGACAAGAAUCCACUUGCAGGCCUAACCUGGAUGGCUGUGAAUUGGCUUAAUCUCAGCUGGCAACUGUGAGCAGUUAAUAAUUCUCACAGUGGUAUCUGGGAUUAUGCUAAACACAGCAAUUUCUUUGCUCUAAUGGAUUAAUAGACCUGCAUGGCACCUAAAUUGCAGAACCAAGACAUACUGCUGCAAUGCACAAAAUCCCAGCACACCAUGCAAACAAGAUUAACCUCAUGGCUCAUUCAAACCAUGCUGAACUCCAGACCCUGACACGAUGUCUCCUACCCUUCCCAGCUUUACUGCUGCAGCACCAGCAGAGGAAGAAUGAUUACAGGUGUGAACUGGGUUACCACAUUCAGCUAACAUCACAUCUCAUUUCAGCACUGCCAAAAAUGUUACUUGUAAAAAUGCCUUGUGAAAACACUGGUCUAGCACCGAACUGUAUGGCAGAUGAUAGCUUUUCUGUGUUUCAUCCUUCACAUCUGAGUUUUUUAAGACAAAGUUCUGUAUGCGGACUGUUCAGUUCCUCUCUGUCUUGUUCAUUGAUCAAUGUUCCAUCACAACCACUGUUUACCCUCAAUUUUCCAUUACCCAAAACAACUGCAAUCAUUUUUUCCUGGGUUUCUGACUUUGGUAAUGUGCCAACUCAAACCAGUCAGGAUUCUUGUAACAUUUUUAAAGUUGAAGUUCAGGUGCUGAGGAGGAACAAAUGACAAUCUAUCACUUCAGGAAGCACAGCUAUCAAACCUGUGCCUGUAUUUUUCCUAAACAAGGACUAAUACAAUGUUUAGAAAUGAAGAGUAUGGUUACUUUUAUCUGGCUCUUCUUUAUCUUUAAAUAACGUUAAGCUAGAGAUAUAAGCAAAUUUUAAAAGUAUCUUCUGUCUCUAGUUCAAUCAUAUUAAUUUAAGAAACUAUCACAGUUUCAUGAUAAUGCCAUCACUGAUUCUGGAUAGAUACCAAAGAUCAUUUGUUAGCUAGCUAUCAAAUAAUCAAACAUAAAUCCUGUUAUGGAUUUGUUAAUAUUCAGUUAAUAUUCAGUAUUGUGGAAAGCAAAGACCCCUCCUUACUACCAAAUGCCAUUCACAUGUUUUUCUUAAGCUGUCAAACAAAUAUGCAAACUCCUUAGCCACAGUAUCAUUAUCUAUACUGCAGUGCUUGCAAUUUCAGCACUUAGAGUUCAGAGAUGCAGAAAUCAGUGCAAGACUCCCGUUAAGGUCAGAUGGCUUUAGAUCAGCCUGUGGACCUAUAGAUACCCAGCAGAAAGGAGUAUUAUACAUAGCUCAUAAAAUAGUUACAUUAAUUUUGCCACAUCUUAAAGGAUGAAAACACUAGAUGGCUGAUUUUAGAUAUGUUUUCCUAGGUUUUAUUUACAUGUUAAAUUCUAGGGAUCACCUGUAGUCUGCCAAAAACUGUUCAUGUCACGUUAAGUAUCAAAGGAUCCCGAUAAAGGGUGACUCACUCUGAUGUACAGAGCUUGGAGCUGAGCACCAAAAGGUAUGAGAAGGGUUCUUUUUUGCCUUGCAGAAUUUUAGAAGAAAAUAGUUCUGAGAUAAAAUGAUGAAGUGAUUCUAUCUCAGUAAUUGCUAACAGAAACAUCUCUGCUGUAGAAGGGUAGAGUUUGUUCAUUAUGUUUAUGUGCGGUUAGUUAUCAAUCUCAUUAGUCACCAAAUGUCACUGACAUGGUUGGUUUUUCCCUGGCAAAUUUUCUUUAAAUUCCCCUGAUCACUGCAAGCUCUUUCCUUCCACACCCAAAGUCCAAGUUAAUGAAAAUAUCCAGAUCGCUGUGGGACACAGAUUGCAGAGCAUUUUAACAGACAGAUGUAAUAGACUGCAUGGCAUUUGUAUCACAGAAGCAAUAAUUAAAUUACCAACAGUAAGGCACAUAGUAGAUUAAUUUUAGUACAUUUUAGACCUGUACCAGAAAUACAAAACCCAACUACUUUCAGAAUCCUUAACUGCACUCUUUCAAAUACAGCAGAUAGAAGCAAAAAUAUUGAUGCCUGAGGGAUUCUAAUGACUAAAUUCUGCUUAUGUUGUGUGUUACUUGCUCUCAAUAUAGUAAGAUCAGCAAAUAGACAGGCAUACCUGGCUCCUGCACAUUCAGUGGAAAUACACAGGCUGGCUAUCAAGAAUCAGGUCUGAAACCAGAGUCUUCUUUUCAAAUGUAGUGUUCUUUUUAGAUCCAGAAAAUAUGCAAGAAAUAGGAAAGCAGUAUCAGGUUUGUAGUUCCUGUUGCUAAAAUGUUGCACACAAAAAGCAGAUACAUGCUGGCAUUAGUUAUAAUUUCUCAUGAAUUUCACAAUUCAAACACUUACUGAAUUUGCAGGCUCGCCCUGCUGAGAGCCUACAUCAUUUCCUGCCUUUUGGUGAGGCAGAACACUUGCUGACUUGCUAUCUUAAGCUGUUCAACCAAAAAACAACAGUUCUGAAUCAAUUAAGACCUGCACAGGUAUAAGGCUUGCUAUUGGUGCUAUUUAAUGUGAUUUUUGGUAAAUAUUUAUUCUCAGUAAUUCUUAGAUAAACCAUGACUGUGCUCGAAGAAAAAUAGAAUUUCCCUAAAAAACUGAGUGGUACAAUAAAGUAGUUUUUGUUUCUUCUUGCACACUGGCCUUGUUGAGCCUCAGCAUUUGAAGAUGAAAAUUAAGAAAAAAAGGCAUUAAACAAGGACACUACAACUAAAAAAUUUAGGAUGUAACCAAAGUCACUGCAGAGUUCUUGAUGUCGCAGAUACUGCAUCAGGAACUGAUUGGAUAAUAAUCAGUCACCAUCAGUUCCUAAUGCAUUGCCUUCAGCAUCUAAACAAGCAUCAGUGAGUUUCUGCACUUCAAUAGCUGUAAUGUUUCAAUGGUUAUGUAUUUGCUAAAUGCCCACUUGCCAAAAACCUGACAGCUCUCCCACAAAAGUAUAGCAUUACCUUCAGAGCGAAAUAUAAAGCUAUCAGUGCUGUUCAGUGGCACACCUUGUUCCCUUCCAGAUUAUGGCAGUGCAUUAAAACUGAACAGAAAAAAAAGAAAACUGGAGGAAAAGAAGACAGUUCUUGCCUGAGGUUAUUUCAACCAUGGAUUUCUGAUUUCUCUUCAAAAAAGAUUUGCAAGACAUACCUAAAACAUAGACAGUGAUAAUGACAGUACUCACUUUCAUUGUGCCUUAUUUCAAAGAACUGCAAAAUUACUUACAGUAUGCAUUGUAUUACUGUAAUACAUGCACAUAAAGACAUGCAUAUGAAUUUAUACAUACAUACAUACAUUUGAGAAUGGAAAACUACAGAGGGAGGAGUCUCUUCUUCACUGAUGAAACAGAGGCCUCACUGAACUGGAGCACUGCAAAGGACAGCUUAUUAUGUUAAUGUCCAACAACUCAUUCAUGGGGCAUAUCCAAUUUUAAUAGUGUAUGACAUCUGAGUAAGUAGAAGACCACUUAUAAAAUACACAAAUAUAACAGAUUUUUCAGGCUCUGUGGGAUUUUUCUUCUCCAAAGGUGAUUUGAGCCUUGAUUUAGAUCUUAGCUGAAGGACACAGCCCUCAUCAACACAACUUCUACCAGUUGUACAAUUUCUUAGCUAUGUACUGGCUCAGAGGACAACAACUGGAUCCCCCAGUACAUCUGUGGAUACAUUAGAGGUCUCAUAUCUCUAUUCAGAGCAUAUCUCAUCCAAUGUGAAUUUGUGAUCAUCAAUCUACAGCAUAAAUCUGGAUAAACUCAAGCAGGAAGAUGUACAGCCAGACAUCACAACUAUCAGUGAACUUCUAUACUCCAAUUUGUCAGAAAAAUAACCCACCAAAUCUUGCCUGCACUCUGACAGAGAACACAUCACCUUCACUGUUCUCUGAGUGGAAAAUGGAUAGCUAAGAACUUAAUUAUGAUGCCUCAGCAUCAUCUGAUAUUGUUUUAUUCAUUGGUGUUAUUCAGACCUAAAGCUCAAAAACUAUAAAUACAAUCUCCUGGCUGUUUCCUCAUGAGUUUUACCCAUUUCUUCCACACAGAGAUUAGCUUAGCCACAAACUUUGGAUGAGAACACGGGUCUGGAACUCAUCACCAUCCCACAAAUUGCAGGCUUUCUAAACCAAAGGUUUGUUUUAUCAUAUUACAUUGGUAGGAAACAAAAUCCAUAUUCAAAUCCUCAAUCCCGAAUCUAUGCAUUCGGAGAACGGAAGUGCUGGCACAGGUCCACUGGUUAAACCCUCAGAAUUAACCAGCCCACUGAGAAAGCAAUUUGCAUAGCACAGAAGCAGUCUGAGGGCGCCACUGUACAUGCAGAGACAUGGAGUGUUCUCUGAAAAGCAGGAAACAUGGCUUGUGGCAAGAGUAAUUUUAGAAGUAAGACAAGAAGCCUGAGUAAGCAGAUGUUGUCUGCGAGGUCAGAAAGGUAAGUGCCAGUUUCACAACCCUACUGUUUAUGCAGUGACACUGAACUUAUUCCAGCCCCUCUGGGGCUGAACAGCACCUGUGUUGGUUUGCAUCCAGGAUCAGACUGAACUGUAACCUACAACCUCCUCCCUUCAUGCAGAUCCCAAGCUUCUGCAUGUGGGCAUCUACACAGUCUCCAAUUGCCACUGAGAUUGUGAUGGAACAGUGUGAAGGAAACCAAAGGAGUUUCUUAGCCCUUAACUUCCCUUUCUGAGAAAUCAAGACUUAGAGACACUAGCCUUCCACAUAUAUAUAUAUAU
ensembl:lncRNA